UACGGAGGGUGCAAGCGUUAUCCGGAUUCACUGGGUUUAAAGGGUGCGUAGGUGGGCAAGUAAGUCAGUGGUGAAAUCUCCGGGCUUAACCCGGAACUGCCGUUGAUACUAUCUGUCUUGAAUACCGUGGAGAUGAGCGGAAUAUGUCAUGUAGCGGUGAAAUGCUUAGAUAUGACAUAGAACACCAAUUGCGAAGGCAGCUCGUUACACGGAAUAUUGACUCUGAGGCUCGAAAGCGUGGGGAUCAAACAGG
rnacentral:rRNA from 1 species